UACGUAGGGUGCGAGCGUUGUCCGGAAUCAUUGGCGUAAAGAGCGUGUAGGCGGUCCGAUAAGUCCGCUCUGAAAGCCCGGGGCUCAACCCCGGGAGGCGGGCGGAUACUGUCGGGCUAGAGUCCGGAAGAGGCAAGUGGAAUUCCUGGUGUAGCGGUGAAAUGCGCAGAUAUCAGGAGGAACACCGAUGGCGAAGGCAGCUUGCUGGGACGGUACUGACGCUGAGACGCGAAAGCGUGGGGAGCAAACAGG
rnacentral:rRNA from 1 species